UACGUAGGGGGCAAGCGUUGUCCGGAAUCAUUGGGCGUAAAGAGCGCGUAGGCGGUCCGGUAAGUCCGCUCUGAAAGUCCGGGGCUCAACCCCGGGAGGCGGGCGGAUACUGUCGGGCUAGAGUCCGGAAGAGGCGAGUGGAAUUCCUGGUGUAGCGGUGAAAUGCGCAGAUAUCGGGAGGAACACCAAUGGCGAAGGCAGCUCGCUGGGACGGUACUGACGCUGAGACGCGAAAGCGUGGGGAGCAAACAGG
rnacentral:rRNA from 1 species